GGGUGGAUUAGUGGCGAACGGGUGAGUAACACGUGAGCAACCUGCCCCUGACUCUGGGAUAAGCGCUGGAAACGGCGUCUAAUACUGGAUAUGUCCCGUCACCGCAUGGUGUGCGGGUGGAAAGAUUUUUCGGUUGGGGAUGGGCUCGCGGCCUAUCAGCUUGUUGGUGAGGUAAUGGCUCACCAAGGCGUCGACGGGUAGCCGGCCUGAGAGGGUGACCGGCCACACUGGGACUGAGACACGGCCCAGACUCCUACGGGAGGCAGCAGUGGGGAAUAUUGCACAAUGGGCGGAAGCCUGAUGCAGCAACGCCGCGUGAGGGAUGACGGCCUUCGGGUUGUAAACCUCUUUUAGCAGGGAAGAAGCGAGAGUGACGGUACCUGCAGAAAAAGCACCGGCUAACUACGUGCCAGCAGCCGCGGUAAUACGUAGGGUGCAAGCGUUAUCCGGAAUUAUUGGGCGUAAAGAGCUCGUAGGCGGUCUGUCGCGUCUGCUGUGAAAUCCCGAGGCUCAACCUCGGGCUUGCAGUGGGUACGGGCAGACUAGAGUGCGGUAGGGGAGAUUGGAAUUCCUGGUGUAGCGGUGGAAUGCGCAGAUAUCAGGAGGAAC
rnacentral:rRNA from 1 species